rnacentral:rRNA from 1 species
UACGUAGGGUGCGAGCGUUGUCCGGAAUUAUUGGGCGUAAAGAGCUUGUAGGCGGUCUGUCGCGUCUGCUGUGAAAAUCCGGGGCUCAACCCCGGACUUGCAGUGGGUACGGGCAGACUAGAGUGUGGUAGGGGAGACUGGAAUUCCUGGUGUAGCGGUGAAAUGCGCAGAUAUCAGGAGGAACACCGAUGGCGAAGGCAGCUCGCUGGAACGGAACUGACGCUGAUGCACGAAAGCGUGGGGAUCAAACAGG